rnacentral:rRNA from 1 species
UACGAAGGGGGCUAGCGUUGCUCGGAAUCACUGGGCGUAAAGCGCACGUAGGUGGAUCGCUAAGUCAGGGGUGAAAUCCUGGAGCUCAACUCCAGAACUGCCUUUGAUACUGGCAAUCUCGAGUCCGGGAGAGGUGAGUGGAACUGCGAGUGUAGAGGUGAAAUUCGUAGAUAUUCGCAAGAACACCAGUGGCGAAGGCGGCUCACUGGCCCGGUACUGACGCUGAGGUGGCGAAAGCGUGGGGAGCAAACAGG